CAACUCUCCUCAGGAGCUGGCAGAAGCCCCUCACCUUGCAGUGUACUGAAUAAGGACUGAAAGGUCAGAAGAAAGCAAAAAAGGUCGAGAUGAUUGCAGCUGCAGGAUAUACACCUUCCUGCUCUGGCCUUUGGCGCAGACAACCUGUGUUUAGUUAGUGCUUGCAAAUAAUGGAAUGAGCAUUUACAGAUGUUUUUGAAAAUAAGGUUUUGUAACUAACAAACAAUGAAAAAAGCAGUCUGUUGCAUCACUAAGAUUAAUGUGUACACUGAUAUGGUCAAUGCUCACAUACAUAAGAGGCCCACAGGAAGCCUGUCUGAAGAGUUCAUGAACAUGUUUCAAUGCACAAUUACCUCAGAGUUCCUCAGAGUAGGCAUCUGUACUCACCAGACUGGCAUCGAUACCUGGCAGUCACUUGUGGCACAUAUGGUGCUCCAUUUUACAGCUUCUGGAUUCCCACUGUAGGCAAACUGAAGCCAUCCUUAUACUGCAAGGUAAUAAGGAAAGAAAAUGCUGCCAUCUGAUCACCAACUCUACUAGCAAUAGAAGGUAAUUGCCCACAGGAACUUACUGUAAACCUAUGUUUGAAUUCUGGACAGAAAUAAGAAGAAAAUUUAAGCCAACAAGAAAAUGUUACACGUCCCUUGAGAGAGAAAUUGGUUAAAAGACAUCUGGGAGUAAACAUUUAAAUUUUCACUUGAGCUGACCUAUUUACUGUUACACUUUCUACUACUAUUUCAGUCAAUUACUGCAAUUAUUCAGUGAAAAACAGAUUCAUUAACUGUGUUCCAUAAAUAAAAUCAAGCUAAGCUUAUUUUCUAAUCACUGAUCAUUGUUUUUAGACUUGCAGGGUGGAGAUGAAUACAUUAAAUAUCAGUGCUCUGUGUUUAUCAGGCUAUACUUAUCACUUUUCAUUUAAGCCUAGUGUCACAUUAUGAAAUUAAAUCACCCUCUAUCACAAGCCUAUAAAAGAACUAAAAAUUGGAAAUAUGCAAAACAGUUCAGCAGGAUGGAGACAGGACAGGAAUAUUUUCUGGUUCUAGCCAGAAAUGGAUAGCUGCUAUAAUACUUAAGUUACAGAGCUGCAUGAAGGAUCUUUAAUAGCAGAGGCUGAAAGUUGGAUUGUCCAUGAACAGAUUUACCCUCAGCUCAGCAGCUGGGAACAGUGAAUUUGUGUCUUAUGUAGCCAUUACUGGCAGUAUCCCAGUUAGAAAAAACAUAGAAUAGCUUAUGCUUUAUAUCUGUUAAUAUAAGUACUCGUAUGGAGCAAAGUUAAUGCAAGUCUGGUUUUCUGGUGGCAAUUCUUUGCUUAGUUAUUAGAAUCAGUGGUGAGCAAAAAAUCAUUCAUUAAGGAAUGUUUUGUAUGAAUAGUUACUAUAGGAAGCAAAUUAGCUGUCAUGACUAUAAGAACAUAGGCAUCUUAGACAUUCUUGCUCUUUGGGAGAACAACAUCCUACUUAGUUUUCCACGUACUGAAAUAUAAUCUUUGCAAAAUCAGUCGAUACUCUGUAAAGGAUAGCUUAGAUGCCUUCACGUGGCUACAUCCUUAGGACUCAGCCAAAAUUUGAGUUUUUGCAGGCUACUUCUGAGCAAACUGUCAUUGGAGUGGCAUAUUUCUAAGGAUCUUCUGCUCAGUUUAGAAUUUCUGCCAUUUCAAAGGAAAAAAACCCUAUUGUCAACAGUUCCAGCUGUCAGUAGCCUGCAACUGAUAUCAUGAGCUAAAAGCAGACUUCCUGGGCUCCUUGCAUGACAUCAUACUGGUGCUGGGUUGAAUUUUCUUUUCAGGAAGGUAUUCUCUGAAUUUUUGUUUCUAAGAUUCCAGAAAAAAAAAGUGUAUGCUUGGAAAGUAUUUAAAUUGCCAAGCAAUGUUAUACUCACAUGUAGAGAUGUGGAGAGGAAAGAAAAGGAGUAGAAAUACAUUUUUAGAAGCCUUAGCAAAUUAUCCUAUGACAGCAGUUACAAUCUCAGAGGCUCAACGUGAGCUAGAUGAGUUGUGUAUUUCCACAGAGAUGGAAAAAGCUGCUCCACACCAGCCCUGGUUCAAGUCUUCUUUCUUUUGGGACUCAAAUGACUUGAAGUGGUACCCAAUGAAAGCUACUUCUCGGAAUACUCCUUCUUAAAUUAUCAUCUUCACUAUUCUGCAGUUGACUGGCACUUCUGUCAAAGCAAAUUUGCAUGAUGUUAUAGCAGGUGUGAUUCCAGACCAAGUCUGUCUGUAUCCUGUUUGUGCUAUUCUCUUGGUUUAUAAGGUUCAAAUCCCAAAUCACCCUACAAAAGCCCUGCUGUUUCCCAUAUUCUGUAAGUUCAUUGUUCAAAGGUACAUUUAGAAGCAGAAGCCACAUUUUGGUGACAGAACAGGUGAAAGGGAGCUUGCUGUAUUGAUUGAAAGUCCAUCUAAUGAUGUACUGUAAGAAGUGAUGGGCAUUUAAUCGAUUGUUGAGUUCCAAGGAAUACAUUUUCUUACCAAAGUAAGUGGGAAGAUUCUCACCACAGCUUUUUCUUAUUCCAAAAUGAAAUUACUCUGUGAUUAAAAUAAUCUGUUAUUAGAUUCUCUACAGUUCACUGAAUCAAAGUGAAGAGAGGAUUUGGUGAAGGAGGAUUGAGUUCAGAGCACAGUUUAUGCAGGGUGACUGUAUACAAUAGAGGAAUACCUUAGCUUAAAAAGGAACAGUUUUUUACUUGCAAAAAAGUUAUUUUCACUUGAAACUUGCUAUCUGCUUGUGUGUACAUCCACAGAACUCUGUGUAGGCAUUCUGCAUUAUUGUAACUUUCAUAAAUGCAUGUAGAAACGCCAAAAAUGUUGGUCAGGCCCCACGUGUCUGAAUUGUGACAACCAUGAGUAAAUGCUUUCUUCAUCUAACCAGUGUUCAGUGGAAGUGUUUGGAGGAAUGUGAUGGCUCAUUGUGGUAGGGCUAUCUCAGACAUUUUAACGAUUUCAAGCUUUAUUUCAAGGGAUAAUUUUUCACUUCAUAAACCAAAUAGUAUUCAUGCAGACCUCCCAAGGGUACAGAUUAGAGAAACAGCCACUAGGCAGAGAUGGUAAAUGUGACAAAUGGACUCAUGGAGUCUGUAACACAGAGCAUGGAUUUUGAAUGAAUUAAUAUUAAUAACAAGAAAAUUAAAGAUUCGUUCUGGAGAUGAGAAGUACUGCUGCUACUGAAUUUUCAAAAAAUUGGGAAUCGCUUUUGCUUUCACUACUAAAAAUAAAAGACAGUUGAACAAAACUGUGUUCCCAGAGUAGCUAGCUGUGUACCGUCACUCCUUAAUCUUCUUUUAAAAAUGAUUAAGUGAUAUGGGUUUUGGUUUUGUUUUAGAUUUGUUUAAGGUGCGUCUCCCUGUUGUGUUUGUCCUCCCUUAAACUCUGUCACUGUUGUAACAUCGUUUUACAACAGCUGGUAACAGGAUAGGGUACAGUAACUCAGUUGUACUACCAGUGUCAGCUGGUACAAAAUACGUGGAAAGUAGAUUGUGCAGUUGUAGUGGAAAUGAUACUGUGGGAAUAAAGUGCCAUGUUUCUUUCUGGCUCAGACUCUGUGAUAUAAAACUGUAACGGUGAAUUCUCACUCUCUUUCUGCUUGAUUAAGGGACAGACUUGCAGCUAACUGGUGAGUAAUGAAACAAAACUGUGCCAACUUUCUGAAGGCCUCAGAACAAAGCUGUACUGUAACACUCUUGUGAAAAGUGCACAACAAACACAUGCCCAAGCACAGUGGAGAAGCCAGGAGUUUGUUGUCUUGUUUGAGGUGGUUUUGGGUCUCCCCCAGCCAUGACCUCCCUUACCAACAUGCAAAGAGAAAAGCACAGCCAGCAGGGCAUGCGCACGGCGCAUGAUACCAGAUACUCUCCACCUGCCAACAUCUCCUGGCUCAUUUGGAGGGGAUCAUCAUAUGGCAUAAAAGGCAUUGCCAUUGCACAGCUGGCAGUGCAUGCCUUACCGCAUCCUCAACCAACCUAGAAGACGGAGAAGGAGGGUGAAUCCUCAGGACAUCAUGGGAACCGUAGUGUUCACUUGCUUUUCUUUCCUUUCCUUUUUCCUCUUUCUCCUUUGCUUCUGUUUACUUUUUCC
rnacentral:lncRNA from 1 species